rnacentral:rRNA from 1 species
CAGCCGCCGCGGUAAUACAGAGGGUGCGAGCGUUAAUCGGAUUUACUGGGCGUAAAGCGUGCGUAGGCGGCUUUUUAAGUCGGAUGUGAAAUCCCUGAGCUUAACUUAGGAAUUGCAUUCGAUAAUGGGAAGCUAGAGUAUGGGAGAGGAUGGUAGAAUUCCAGGUGUAGCGGUGAAAUGCGUAGAGAUCUGGAGGAAUACCGAUGGCGAAGGCAGCCAUCUGGCCUAAUACUGACGCUGAGGUACGAAAGCAUGGGGAGCAAACAGGAUUAGAUACCCCGGUAGUCCCUGUCUCUUAUAC